UUACGCCCUGUGCUAAGUAAAACACCAUGCCUCACACGCCCCUACCUUUUAAAACAUUGAUACUCAGAAUUCUAUCUCCUCUCAUACUGCUCUAAAAAUCGCAACAAUGUUCUGAAACUUGAAUUUUCAUAUGGCCGUAGCCGCUACUCUUUGGGUGCGCAUAGGUAAAACCUCCGCUCUUAUACAAUAGCUCGCAAACCACGCAGGAGAAGUAACUCGCGCUAGACAAGCCCGCGGCUCCUAUGAAUUUUCAUUGGCUUUGUAAAAUCUUGGAUGAAUUGUGUCACAAAAUCCAUGCAACAACAUAGUGAAAGCUUAAAUUCCCCAAGGACAAAGAUUACUCUAUCAAAGCCCGUCUUUUUUUAUUUCCCAAAUUCUGCAAUUUUCUAACAAAUAAGUAACUUGAAGAAUAAGGGAUGUCAAUUUAGGGAAAGAAAUGAGAUAAUAAAGAAGAGGGGGUCAUAGAAAGUGUAAAAAGUACAAGUGAUUGGUAGAGUGGCAACUUCUUCUACAAGGAGAGAGGUAUGAUAGAGACGUAACACCAAGUGAAAAAAUUGUGAAAGUAAUAAAAUGUAAUGAAAUGAAUGCAUGAUUUGUCUACAAGGCAUAUAGCAAAUGUUUACAAGGAUAGUGACCCUAACUUCACCCUUUGUCUAAGCAAACUAAGACCCCUUUUCUCUUAGUGUGUGUCUCUCUUAUUUCUCACCCCCCAUUCAUUUUUACCUACCAUGAACUUCAUCUAUUCCCUCUUUUCAUCAUGGGAUGGCUUCAAUCCCUCUUCUCUCCAUUGAAGAAGCUUUGGUUUCGUCUUCACUCUGCUCCGAAGAAGAGAAGAGGGAUAUAUAUACUCUACGAGGAUGUUAAAUCUUGCCCUUGUGAAGAUGUUCAAGUGCUUUGGUCCAUACUAGUGGAGUCUCAUCCACAUUCUUUGCCACCACGAAAAUGAGGGUCUUUACAUAAGCACACACAGAGGGGAGAUUUAAUUUACAGUCACAUGUACAUAUAUAUCACACCACUUUUGUCCCAACAUAGGGUUUCUUUGUUCAAGUUUUCAAUCUUUUGUGAGUGAGGUCCAUCUGAAAAGUCUUUAAAUUAUUGAAACUUAUGUCUUUCUCUUGAUAUUGAGUUGUACAUUCUUCAAAAUGUGGUAAAUAUUUAUAAGUAA